rnacentral:rRNA from 1 species
AUUGAACGCUGGCGGCAGGCUUAACACAUGCAAGUCGAGCGGAGAUGAGGUGCUUGCACCUUAUCUUAGCGGCGGACGGGUGAGUAAUGCUUAGGAAUCUGCCUAUUAGUGGGGGACAACAUUCCGAAAGGAAUGCUAAUACAGCAUACGUCCUACGGGCGAAAGCAGGGGAUCUUCGGACCUUGCGCUAAUAGAUGAGCCUACGUCGGAUUAGCUAGUUGGUGGGGUAAAGGCCUACCAAGGCGACGAUCUGUAGCGGGUCUGAGAGGAUGAUCCGCCACACUGGGACCGAGACACGGCCCAGACUCCUACGGGAGGCAGCAGUGGGGAAUAUUGGACAAUGGGGGGAACCCUGAUCCAGCCAUGCCGCGUGUGUGAAGAAGGCCUUAUGGUUGUAAAGCACUUUAAGCGAGGAGGAGGCUACUGAGACUAAUACUCUUGGAUAGUGGACGUUACUCGCAGAAUAAGCACCGGCUAACUCUGUGCCAGCAGCCGCCGCCGUAA